GUUUGGUCCAGCCUUAUUAUCUACUAUUACUCAACUUACACAUGCAAGUCUCAGCACUCCGGUGAAAACGCCCUUAAAUUCCUCUUCGGAAAACGGAGCCGGUAUCAGGCCCAACCCUUUGCCCAUGACACCUAGCCACGCCACACCCUCAAGGGUUUUCAGCAGUGAUUAACAUUAAAAAUUAGCGACAGCUAGAUUUAAUUAGAGUUAAUAGGGCCGGCAAAUCUUGUGCCAGCCGCCGCGGCUACACCAGAGGCCCAAUUAGAUAUUUACCGGCGUAAAGCGUGAUUAAAGUCCCAACACAACUAGAGUUAAAUUGUAACUACACUGUGAUAAGUUUGUUAUCUAGAAGCCCAAGAACGAAAGUCACUCUAACCCCCCCCCUUGAACUCACGACAACUGAGAAACAAACUGAGAUUAGAUACCUCACUAUGCUCAGCCGUAAACCUUUA
rnacentral:rRNA from 1 species